rnacentral:SRP_RNA from 2 species
GCCGAGCUCGGUCGUGUGAGCUUGUAACCCAAAUGGGGGCAUUGAAGUGGUUGAAGGUUGUUUCGUUCCACCGUGUAGGGUUUGACCGAGGCGACCUCCGGCUUGCCCGUUACAAGUUGGGAGUUGGGCCUUGGGCUCUCGACGUAGGCCGAGAGUCCAUUGCUCCUAAAGAUUGGUGGGCACCGCGUUAGGCUGGUUCACAGAGCAGCGUAACCACCCACUCUCAUCGGUGUAAGGAUUACAAGCCGGUUCUCGGUGGCCUAUCAUUACACAGUCGGAUGUUCCCAGUCCGACGACCACUUUU